GACGCGAUGGCGAAGUGGAAACGCGGUUGUCUGCAAAACAUCCAUGCGCGGGUUCGAUUCCCGCUCGCGUCUCCA
rnacentral:tRNA from 4 species